rnacentral:Y_RNA from 1 species
GGCUGGUGAGUGAAAUGGUGUUUACAACUAACUGAUCACAACCAGUUAUAGAUUUGUUUGUUUCCUUCUCUCACUCCUACUCCUUCACUUGACCAGCCUUAA